rnacentral:rRNA from 1 species
CCUACGGGAGGCAGCAGUGAGGAAUAUUGGUCAAUGGACGCAAGUCUGAACCAGCCAUGUAGCGUGCAGGAUGACUGCUCUAUGGGUUGUAAACUUCUUUUGUAAGAGAGUAAAGUCAGAUACGCGUAUCUUUUUGUAUGUACUUUAUGAAUAAGGAUCGGCUAACUCCGUGCCAGCAGCCGCGGUAAUACGGAGGAUCCGAGCGUUAUCCGGAUUUAUUGGGUUUAAAGGGAGCGUAGGUGGGUUGUUAAGUUAGUUGUGAAAGUUUGCGGCUCAACCGUAAAAUUGCAAUUGAUACUGGCAGUCUAGAGGACAGUUGCGGUAGGCGGAAGGCGUGGUGUAGCGGUGAAAUGCUUAGAUAUAACAAAGAACUCCGAUUGCGAAGGCAGCUUACUAAGCUGCCACUGACAUUGAUGCUCGAAAGUGUGGGUAUCAAACAGGAGUAGAUACCCCUGUAGUC